rnacentral:misc_RNA from 1 species
GUCGUAACAAGGUUUCCGUAGGUGAACCUGCGGAAGGAUCAUUACCACACCAAAUAAAUAUCCACGUGAACGUAUUCUGUAUGAGGUUUGUGUUGCUCUUCGGAGCGACUAACCGAAGGUUUCGAAAGAAACUGAUGUACUUUUUAAUCCCUUUUAAUCAAUAACUGAAAUGAAACUGCAGACAGAAAUGUGUGCAUUAAAUCAUAUACAACUUUCAACAGUGGAUGUCUUGGUUUUCA